AUUGAACGCUGGCGGCAGGCCUAACACAUGCAAGUCGAGCGGAUGACGGGAGCUUGCUCCCUGAUUCAGCGGCGGACGGGUGAGUAAUGCCUAGGAAUCUGCCUGGUAGUGGGGGACAACGUUUCGAAAGGAACGCUAAUACCGCAUACGUCCUACGGGAGAAAGCAGGGGACCUUCGGGCCUUGCGCUAUCAGAUGAGCCUAGGUCGGAUUAGCUAGUUGGUGGGGUAAUGGCUCACCAAGGCGACGAUCCGUAACUGGUCUGAGAGGAUGAUCAGUCACACUGGAGCUGAGACACGGUCCAGACUCCUACGGGAGGCAGCAGUGGGGAAUAUUGGACAAUGGGCGAAAGCCCGAUCCAGCCAUGCCGCGUGUGUGAAGAAGGUCUUCGGAUUGUAAAGCACUUUAAGUUGGGAGGAAGGGCAGUAAGCUAAUACCUUGCUGUUUUGACGUUACCGACAGAAUAAGCACCGGCUAACUCUGUGCCAGCCGCCGCCGUAA
rnacentral:rRNA from 1 species